CCGCCGCCUUCCCGAGGUGCGCGGCGCCCCCUGCCGCCAGCCGGAGGAGCGCAGGGCCCGCUCGCAGGAGGCCGGGAACAUGGCGGGGCAGCCCGCGGCCUCAGGCUCCCAGUCUCCCGACAGGGACGGAAUGGAGCCCAACGUCGUGGCUCGGAUCUCGCAGUGGGCAGACGACCACCUGCGCCUAGUCCGGAACAUCAGCACUGGAAUGGCCAUAGUUGGAAUAAUGUUACUUCUAAGAAGCAUUCGACUGACAUCAAAAUUUACAAGCGCUUCAGAUAUUCCAGUAGAAUUUAUAAGAAGAAAUGUUAAACUACGUGGACGAUUACGCCGAAUAACUGAGAAUGGUUUAGAAAUUGAACAUAUACCUAUUACUUUACCUAUUAUAGCUUCGUUGAGAAAGGAGCCACGUGGUGCUUUGCUGGUUAAGCUGGCUGGAGUAGAACUCACUGAAACUGGGAAGGCAUGGUUACAAAAAGAGCUAAAACCUUCCCAAUUACUAUGGUUCCAACUUCUUGGAAAGGAGAAUUCAGCACUCUUUUGCUAUCUUUUAGUGAAUAAGGGUGGAUAUUUCAGCGUGAAUCUGAAUGAAGAAAUUUUGAGAAGAGGUCUUGGCAAAACUGUUCUUGUUAAAGGGCUUAAAUAUGAUUCUAAAAUCUAUUGGAGAGUUCACAGAAACUUACUUAAAGCUGAAUUAACAGCCUUAAAAAAAGGAGAAGGAAUAUGGAAGGAAGACUCUGAAAAAGAAAGUUAUUUGGAAAAAUUAAAAGAUUCCUGGAGAAUAUGGAAAAAGGACAGUUUUCUAAAAACAACAGGAUCAGAUUUCAACUUGAAAAAAGAAAGUUAUUAUGACAAACUUAGAAGGACUUAUGAAAUAUGGAAAGACAACAUGAACAACUACUCCUUAAUACUGAAGUUCAAAGAACUUAUAAGUCGCAUACACUUUCGUAGAAAAGGGUGAAACAGUCAAGAGAUCUAGAGGCUCUGCCUAUUAGUGAGAUGUGAAAUCAAUUAAAAAAGAAAAAGAUAAAGGAACAGAACAGGAUAAAAUAUAUCAGAGUGCAUUGAAAAUAGCAAAGAUGGAUGUCCCUGUGCUUGAAGAAGCAGAGCUAAUUCAACCCCAGACUUCUCAGCCAGGCGGAUUUCAACCUUGUAUUGAGCUACCAGCAGGAGUUCUUUAUACUUGGAAAAGUGGUAAAUCCUUACUAAAAGAUCAUAGCUUGCAUGACCAAGAGAUCAUCUAGAAAAGGUACUUUAUUACCAUGUAGGAUGUUUGUCUUACCUGCCCAAAGAAGUUUUAAUGUAGGUCUCAUUUUCUCCAGUUCCCCUUUAACCAGUGAAAGAGGAGGGCAUUAUUUGUUUUGUUUUUCUAUUUAUUCUUCGGUAACCAUGGAAGAGUUUGUGUAACCUAGAGAGGCUGCUUAUUACCCACUUUCUAAUCCCUGUGUUAUUAUUCCAUACUCUGAUUGUCACAAGCAGGAAAAAUAGUUCUGUCCUGCUUCUAAAAACUUAGCAAUGUAACAAAUUUUCUUGUUUUUAGUGAUUUUCUCCAAUUAAUUAAUUAAUUGUUUUAGUGAUUUUUCUCUGAUAAAUAAUGUUAAAAAGACUUGGAGAGAAAAGCUACAUUAAAAGAUUAUGGAUGUAUAAAUAUCCUAAACAUUUAAGAACAUGCAUAAUUAUGAUUCAUAUCAACUUCAGAAUUAUUACCCUUGGAAAGGGGUGGGGGUAACGAGUCAGGAGUUGGGGUUUAGCCGUAUCUGUAAUACUUUAUUUAAAAAAGAAGGGGUUGGGGGAGCAGGAGUAUUACAUGGUGUAUGUCCUGUUUUUGGUAGGUUUGAAAUACCACACAAUUAAAAAAUUUGAAAGUUUACAAAAUUAUGGGAGUUGAUUAAAACUAUCAAAAUAAAGUGCAUAGCAAACAAGUGCUCUUAUUAGAAA